UUGGAAAGAUUUGUUUGGAGAGUGAUGGCAAAGUUAAAAGAAGCUAACUUUAUAGAAGAUAUUUCUUGUAUAAAGCGUCGUGGUGUUCCUGCAUUUCAUUAACAUGGAGAUCUAUAUGAAUUUAAGGACACAUCACAUUUCAAGAUAAGCUGGGCAGUUUCUGUUUCUGUUUGCCUAUUAUUUCUUUCAUUUGAUUUAGCUAAUCAUUUUUUUUGUUCUAGAGUAAAAUAUCUUGUGUGUUUUAUGUCAAUUCUUUAAUAUGCUUACCUUCUGCAA